CAAUAGCGUAUAUUUAAGUUGUUGCAGUUAAAAAGCUCGUAGUUGGAUUUCGGAUGGGACUUGCCGGUCCGUCGUUUCGAUGUGCACUGGCCAGUCCUAUCUUGUUGUCGGGGACUAGCUCCUGGGCUUCACUGUCCGGGACUAGGAGCUGACGAGGUUACUUUGAGUAAAUUAGAGUGUUCAAAGCAAGCCUACGCUCUGAAUACAUUAGCAUGGAAUAACACGAUAGGACUCUGGCUUAUCUUGUUGGUCUGUGAGACCAGAGUAAUGAUUAAGAGGGACAGUCGGGGGCAUUCGUAUUUCAUUGUCAGAGGUGAAAUUCUUGGAUUUAUGAAAGACGAACUUCUGCGAAAGCAUUUGGCAAGGAUGUUUUCAUUAA
rnacentral:rRNA from 1 species